AAUCCAGACGCAUGCAAACAGAUCUAAUCUGUAGAGAACGACGUGGUCUAAGCAUAGCAGAAAGAAUCGGCUAAAUAGGAUGUACGGUUGACAAUCUACAAGCUACCGAAGUAGGCUAAUCAAAACAGACUGCAGCUCGUAAACAGAGCAAGAAAGCUCACCGGAGAAGAUGAAGUUCCCCGGAGUUGAUGGGAUUCGGCGAAAAAGAGGUUUCCAAAGGCGAGGCUGUGGUGGAUGCUGUUCUAGGGUUCGAGAGGGAUCUAGUGGUGGUGAUGGCUCGGGCUAAUUUGGGGCGAGGUGGUAGGAAUUGCUCGCCGGAGUUCGCAUGGAAACGGCGACGAAAACUCAAAAUUGGAUGCGGGACUGACAGCGGCUUCGAGCUAGGUUUCGAGGGAUAGGUUGGGGCUCUCGAGGGCGUCAGGUUAGAGGCUUUUAUAGGACGCGGGGCGCUCGGGAUAAGGCUGGCGGCGGGUGAGAUUUGAACGGGAUCCGUUUCGCUUAAAAUUCGGACGAGAUAGAGUCCGGGAUGGUUUGAUUCUUGUUGGGAUGGAUUCCUUGCCAUGUGGGUCACGAAUUAGAGUAGAAAACCCGGAGAAAAACGGUUCGGAUUUUGGAAUUCGAGGUGGAGGCGGCCAUGGAGUCCUGCUCGUCCUCGAGCUCGAGCUUGGGCUCGGCUGUGGCGCUGCGCGGGCAGGGGCAGGGGCAGGGGCAGGGAUGGCGGCGACCGGCGGAGAAUAGCGGAGACGGCCAGGGACGAGCUGCAGAGGAGGCCAAGCGGCCAUGGCUCUCGUCCAGGAGGGGCACGGGCAGAGAACUCCCAUAUUGUGUGCCUGUGUACGUGAGGAAGAAGAAAGGAAGGAGAGAAAAAGAAAAAGAGAAAAAGAAAAGAAAGAAAAGAGAAAGAGAGAUGGGCCGUUGGAUGAGAGAUGGAUGGCCGAGAAAUUACCAAAUGGGUAUGUAACACAAAAUAAAGCGCAAGUGUUGGAAAAACCAUUUAGCAGAGUUUAACGCUAUACCAACAACAUGCAUACUUUUGAAAAUGUUUUCUCAACUAUAGGAUUAGGAAAGUCACGUUAUUCCCACUCUUGAAUAAAUGUCGAAAAAUCAUCUUCACGCGAGAAUGUCAUGUUACGCUCUUCUCUUUAUUUGAUCAUUUCAUUAGGAAAUGAAAAGAGUAAACCAAAAUAAUAAUCUAUCAUAGGUGAACUAUUAAAUUUGUUUUCCAACUAUAUACUUGGGAAAGUCAUAUUAUUCCCUCUCUUUAUCAUUUAAUAAAUUGGGGAAACUUCUGAAUUGAUUCGAAAAUUCCAAUGAUGCUCUCGAAUGGUCAUGGCAUUCAAAUUGGAAAUUUGGGAUACCAUAAAUCCUUUAUAGGAUCCCCAAAAACGAAUAGGAUUCAUUUUGGUUCUUGAAAUCCCGUACAACAACAUAAAAUGCAAAAAUGGAUCCAACUUAAAUACUUUUGAAUUGGUAAAAAUCUUUCAACCAUGUGAUAUAAUUUGGAUAGUCAUAUUAAUCCACUCUUUUGUUAUAAAAUUCAAACAUGGUGAGAAAAAUUCAAACAAGUCCCGAAAAAUUUAAAAUCCUCAAAAAUUCUCAACCAGAAUAUGUUCAAAUCAAACAAAUU
rnacentral:lncRNA from 1 species